UAGGGAAUCUUCCGCAAUGGACGCAAGUCUGACGGAGCAACGCCGCGUGCGUGAAGAAGGAUUUCGGUUCGUAAAACUCUGUUGUUAGAGAAGAACCGCGCAUAGAGUAACUGUUAUGCGUGUGACGGUAUCUAACCAGAAAGCCACGGCUAACUACGUGCCAGCAGCCGCGGUAAUACGUAGGUGGCAAGCGUUGUCCGGAUUUAUUGGGCGUAAAGCGAGCGCAGGCGGUCAUUUAAGUCUGAUGUGAAAGCCCCCGGCUCAACCGGGGAGGGUCAUUGGAAACUGGUUGACUUGAGUGGGGAAGAGGAGAGUGGAAUUCCAUGUGUAGCGGUGAAAUGCGUAGAUAUAUGGAGGGACUCCAGUGGCGAAGGCGACUCUCUAGUCUGUAACUGACGCUGAGGUUCGAAAGCGUGGGUAGCAAACAGG
rnacentral:rRNA from 1 species